GAUGAACGCUGGCGGCGUGCCUAAUACAUGCAAGUCGAGCGAACAGACGAGGAGCUUGCUCCUCUGACGUUAGCGGAGGACGGGUGAGUAACACGUGGAUAACCUACCUAUAAGACUGGGAUAACUUCGGGAAACCGGAGCUAAUACCGGAUAAUAUAUUGAACCGCAUGGUUCAAUAGUGAAAGACGGUUUUGCUGUCACUUAUAGAUGGAUCCGCGCCGCAUUAGCUAGUUGGUAAGGUAACGGCUUACCAAGGCAACGAUGCGUAGCCGACCUGAGAGGGUGAUCGGCCACACUGGAACUGGGACACGGUCCAUACUCCUACGGGAGGCAGCAGUAGGGAACCUUCCGCAAUGGGCGAAAGCCUGACGGAGCAACGCCGCGUGAGUGAUGAAGGUCUUCGGAGCGUAAAACUCUGUUAUUAGGGAAGAACAAAUGUGUAAGUAACUAUGCACGUCUUGACGGUACCUAAUCAGAAAGCCACGGCUAACUACGUG
rnacentral:rRNA from 1 species